AACGAACGCUGGCGGCGCGCCUAACACAUGCAAGUCGAACGAGAAUCCGGGGCAACCCGGUAGUAAAGUGGCAAACGGGUGAGGAAUACAUGGGUAACCUACCCUUGAGAAGGGAAUAACCCGCCGAAAGGUGAGCUAAUACCCUAUACGCUAUCUUUUUUUCGAAAAGGAUAGAAAAGCCGGGUCGAGGACCUGGUACUCAAGGAGGGGCUCAUGUCCUAUCAGCUUGUUGGUGGGGUAACGGCCUACCAAGGCUACGACGGGUAGCUGGUCUGAGAGGAUGAUCAGCCACACUGGCACUGAGAUACGGGCCAGACUCCUACGGGAGGCAGCAGUGAGGAAUAUUGCGCAAUGGGCGAAAGCCUGACGCAGCGACGCCGCGUGGGGGAUGAAGGUUUUCGGAUUGUAAACCCUUUCAUGAGGAAAGAUAAAGUGGGUAACCACUUAGACGGUACCUCAAGAAGAAGCCACGGCUAACUUCGUG
rnacentral:rRNA from 1 species